CAGCUGAGAUGAGUAAUUUACUCCUGCAAACACUCAGGUAUGGU
rnacentral:tRNA from 1 species